GACGAACGCUGGCGGCGUGCUUAACACAUGCAAGUCGAACGGAAAGGCCCUGCUUUUGUGGGGUGCUCGAGUGGCGAACGGGUGAGUAACACGUGAGUAACCUGCCCUUGACUUUGGGAUAACUUCAGGAAACUGGGGCUAAUACCGGAUAGGAGCUCCUGCUGCAUGGUGGGGGUUGGAAAGUUUCGGCGGUUGGGGAUGGACUCGCGGCUUAUCAGCUUGUUGGUGGGGUAGUGGCUUACCAAGGCGUUGACGGGUAGCCGGCCUGAGAGGGUGACCGGCCACAGUGGGACUGAGAUACGGCCCAGACUCCUACGGGAGGCAGCAGUGGGGAAUAUUGCACAAUGGGCGGAAGCCUGAUGCAGCAACGCCGCGUGCGGGAUGACGGCCUUCGGGUUGUAAACCGCUUUCGCCUGUGACGAAGCGUGAGUGACGGUAAUGGGUAAAGAAGCACCGGCUAACUACGUG
rnacentral:rRNA from 1 species